CCAUGGAGAUUGAAGCAGGCAGGCUUGGCCCUGAGUGUCACCGCCAUCUGUUUGGGCAGAUACCCUGGAUCCUGCUCAAAGUCACAAGUGAGAAGAGUCCCUGAGGACACUGUGGAUUUUUGUCUCUCAGUUGUGGUGGCCCAGGCUGGAGAGUGUCACCAUGCUUCAUGACCAGGUCCCAGAAGACCACAAGCUGGACAAAUGGGCCCUUCUACUUGGGACUAAAACCACACUUCUUGGAAGAGCAACCACAACAGCAAGACAGGUGCCCAGUAAAUCAUGGAUCAUGAACAGUACACUGCACUGGAGCGGCAGGACUGUG